GAUGAACGCUGGCGGCGUGCCUAAUACAUGCAAGUCGAGCGAAUGGAUUAAGAGCUUGCUCUUAUGAAGUUAGCGGCGGACGGGUGAGUAACACGUGGGUAACCUGCCCAUAAGACUGGGAUAACUCCGGGAAACCGGGGCUAAUACCGGAUAACAUUUUGAACCGCAUGGUUCGAAAUUGAAAGGCGGCUUCGGCUGUCACUUAUGGAUGGACCCGCGUGGCAUUAGCUAGUUGGUGAGGUAACGGCUCACCAAGGCAACGAUGCGUAGCCGACCUGAGAGGGUGAUCGGCCACACUGGGACUGAGACACGGCCCAGACUCCUACGGGAGGCAGCGGUAGGGAAUCUUCCGCAAUGGACGAAAGUCUGACGGAGCAACGCCGCGUGAGUGAUGAAGGCUUUCGGGUCGUGAAACUCCGUUGUUAGGGAAGAACAAGUGCUAGUUGAAUAAGCUGGCACCUUGACGGUACCUAACCAGAAAGCCACGGCUAACUACGUGCCAGCAGCCGCCGUAA
rnacentral:rRNA from 1 species